UUUUUUUGCUGUGAUGAAUGAAGUUUUUAUUCGAGAUGGAUGACAUGUUUGAAGAAGACAACAAAGAUCAAUGAAUUGCUCGAAGAAGACAACAAAGGUACAAUUUUUUCGUCUUCCAUACAAAGGUAGGAUCUUUGAAGAACACCAGAAAGAUGAAUGAUUUGUUUGAAGAAUACAGGUUGGUUGUUUCGCGAAAAAAAAAAUUUAGUGAGGUAUUUUCGCAACAGUGGACUUUCAACUAUUGUGUUCCAUGGACCACUAGACCAAGUCCAAUGCAAUUUUGUGAUAACAACGUCUGUGAAGAUAGGUCAUGGCUGGAAAAAGUUUUGUGCCUUUCACUCACUAAAGGAGAAGGGUUAUGUUAUUUUUGAAGUUGAGAGUGAAAAAACAAGCAUGCAUGUAAAAGUUCUUUA